UACGUAGGGGGCAAGCGUUGUCCGGAUUUACUGGGCGUAAAGAGCGUGUAGGCGGCCAAACAGGUCCGUUGUGAAAGUCGGGGGCUCAACCCUCGAAUGCCGGUGGAUACUGUCGGGCUAGAGUGCGGAAGAGGCGAGUGGAAUUCCUGGUGUAGCGGUGAAAUGCGCAGAUAUCAGGAGGAACACCAAUUGCGAAGGCAGCUCGCUGGGACGGUACUGACGCUAAGGCGCGAAAGCGUGGGGAGCGAACAGG
rnacentral:rRNA from 1 species